rnacentral:ribozyme from 13 species
UGAUAGAGGAAAGUCCAAGGAAGCACUUGCUGAGAUCAAGGCUGUGCGUAGAAUUGGUGACUAAUUUGAAAAUCA